rnacentral:rRNA from 1 species
CCCUUAGAGUUUGAUCCUGGCUCAGGACGAACGCUGGCGGCGUGCUUAACACAUGCAAGUGGUGCGACGAACCAGGGCUUGCCCUGGGGCCAAGCCGCGAACGGGUGAGUAACACGUGAGUAACCUGCCCCGAUGACCGGGACAACCCGAGGAAACUCGGGCUAAUACCGGAUGUGGCGCACAGGCUUAAGCCUGUGCGCUAAAGGAAGCUUCGGCCUCCGCAUUGGGAGGGGCUCGCGGCCCAUUAGCUUGUUGGUGGGGUAACGGCCUACCAAGGCUGCGAUGGGUAGCUGGUCUGAGAGGACGAUCAGCCACACUGGGACUGAGACACGGCCCAGACUCCUGCGGGAGGCAGCAGUGGGGAAUCUUGCGCAAUGCGCGAAAGCGUGACGCAGCAACGCCGCGUGGGGGAAGACGGCUUUCGGGUUGUAAACCCCUUUCAGGAGGGACGAAGGUUCACCGGUGAAUAGCCGUGUGGAUUGACGGUACCUCCAGAAGAAGCUCCGGCUAACUACGUGCCAGCAGCCGCGGUAAUACGUAGGGAGCAAGCGUUGUCCGGAAUCAUUGGGCGUAAAGCGCGCGUAGGCGGCCCUGUAAGUCCGUUGUGAAAGUCAAAGGCUCAACCUUUGAAAGCCGAUGGAUACUGCAGGGCUAGAGUCCGGAAGAGGCGAGUGGAAUUCCUGGUGUAGCGGUGGAAUGCGCAGAUAUCAGGAGGAACACCCAUAGCGAAAGCAGCUCGCUGGGACGGUACUGACGCUAAGCGCGAAAGCGUGGGGAGCGAACAGAUUAGAUACCCUGGUAGUCCA